rnacentral:lncRNA from 1 species
CCAUCACAGCACUGAUUUAUCCUUUUUUGAUCUAAUCCUGGUUUUUGUAGGCUGAGAAAAGAAGAAAUAUUCAUUCUCGCUCCACAGAACUAGAUUAAAACCUUGUCAUUACCACCUGUGAGAGGACAGAACCCCAGUUGUUCUGAGACUACAAGAAUUUCCAUCAUUUCACUUGGAAAAAAUUCUGAUAGCUGGGCAAAACUGCCUUAGAAAAAGACGAAGAAACUCAGAGAACAAACAGAAAUAUUGGAUGGUGGAUGAGGUGAACCUAAAUUUUACAAUGAAGGGAGAGGUUAUCAAAGUUUCACUCUCACAGACUGUUUUCUGCUAAGGGGUUGAAGGCAAGUGGUUGUGGCAGGUCAGGUUAUCACGUUGUGCUAUAGUUAGAACUCUGGACUGGUUCUGUGCUGUUGUUUGUUGAGAUGACUAAGUUGUCAUUUUUAAUUAGCUUUAUGCUCCUCUCAAAGGCUAAUUACUUUACUUUUUA